UUCAAGCUUAGUAAUUAUGAAUAGGCUUUGAUUUACGUAUGUCAAAUGAUGCUGUUGAAAACAUGUCGGUGGUGAUAUAACAAAAACAUUUUAACUUUAAAAAUAUAGAGAACUUGGAUUUACAAAUAAAGUUGUUAGGAUGCGAUCAAAAAUUUAGGCCACAAACAAUGUUACGUUUGUUCCAUAUCGUUUUCAUACUGUUAACCAUAACCUGCGAAUCUGUCGUAUCAGUGUGUAGUCCAGGAUGUAAUUGUUACUGGACAGGUUAUUGUUACGGCUGCAAAGAUGGUUAUUAUAAAAAUGAUAAAAAUCUAUGCGAAAGAUGUUCAGCAAAUUGCUUAACAUGUCCAUCUAAUCGAAAUUGCACGAAAUGUAACAAAGGGUUCUAUUUAAAACCUUUUGACAACGAUGAAAAAAUCUGCCAUUCUUGUACCGAAGGAUGCAGUGUGUGUUCUUCUAAAGACGAGUGUUAUCAUUGUAACACGGGAUACUUCAGAAACGGCGGGUCGUGUAGAAAAUGCCCGAAAAAUUGUACAAAUUGCAUAUCAGAAAAUGAAUGCCUGGAAUGUAACGACGGUUACCAUCAAAACGGCACAUUGUGCUUGGCAUGUCCCAGCGGGUUUUACUGGCUGGAAUCUGCUUGCUUACCAUGUUUCGAGAACUGUGCCUCUUGUGCGAUGUAUUAUGAAUGCACUGAA
rnacentral:lncRNA from 1 species